UUCACCCUGAUUCAUUUGUGAGACCACCGACACUAAUAAUAUUACCUCAAAGUUAGAGGUUCUCCGUUACUGGGAACUUCAUAUCGGAUCCGAUCAAUUUAUUGGUUCCAUUCCCCCUAGUAAUAAUGAUCCAUUUGCAGUGACGAUGACAAUCUAAAAGUUUAGGGCAAGAAAUAUAGAAAAUAAAGAAAAAUAUAAACAAUUACAACUGUACAGUAGAAAUGAUCGGCAAAACAAGAUAAACAGAAGACAACAAGGCCUAAAUGGUGAGACUUCUUGGUUUUCAUGAUCAUCAACAGGUCAAUACAGAAGAGGAAACUUAAGGUUAAUACUUUUCUACAUUGUGUGCUAAUUGGAUUAAUGUGAAAUGAAAUGUGUGCUUACCUGGAAAAAGAAAAUAGGAAAUAUCUACAAAAUGGCUGUAAACAAAAUGGAGUACAAUCAUAGAUGCACAAGAACACAAUUGUGUAAUUGCAACAACCUACAUAUUCACUGAAGGAUUAUGGAGAAAUGUAGAAAAAAUAGUAUUUUGUUGUCGAAAUAACACCUGCUUUAUCCAUUCAUGUACAUAGCUCUGUCAUAUCAAAUAUACAGAGGCAGAUGUUUGAAGAACAAAUUUCAAAAAUGUAUUCUCUACCAAUUGAAGGAAGAUGUCUGGUGGAAGGAAUUAUUUAUGCACUGAACUGUUAUGUAGGGGAUUGAAUAAUUGUACGCAGCAGCUUAAACAGAAGAAAAGUUAAAUUAACAUGAAAAGUGGUUAUUUUAUUUAAAAUCUGCAAAAAUGAGCACAAUAUUAAUAACAUCACAAAUAGUAUGAUAUUCAUAGCGUUUUGCUUAUUAUUGUAUUGUCUCAAACAGCUAACCUAUUGUUUUUGUAUGUCAUGUUACUCAUCAGUGAACAUUUUAUUAAAGUUUUAAUUAUC